rnacentral:rRNA from 1 species
GGCAACGGAUAUCUCGGCUCUUGCAUCGAUGAAGAACGUAGCAAAAUGCGAUACUUGGUGUGAAUUGCAGAAUCCCGUGAACCAUCGAGUCUUUGAACGCAAGUUGCGCCUGAAGCCAUUAGGUUGAAGGCACGUCUGCCUGGGCGUC